rnacentral:lncRNA from 1 species
AUGCACAACAGUAGUAGGGGCAUUAAGAUCGGAGCUUUUUGUAGUGCUAGCAGGAAUGCAAGUGAAUGAAUCCCAUCCCCUAGCGAGUGAAGUGCUUACGCCCCUUUAGAGAUAGGGGCGAGCAAAAGAGGUCGUUCUUCCAUUUUGAGAUCUUUAGAUUCAUAAGAUCAUAAUAGAGUCCCUUUACUUUCUAUUUUAUUAGUCAAGCACUAGCGCCCUACAACUAGUAUAUUAUAGCACAGUACCCAACUUCAAAGCUUACCUUCUUAAAAAAAGAAGUUGACCACACCCUUCAUGGCUGAGACCUUCAAAUAAACCCAAUCACCAACCUUAAAUUCAAGAUCUCUCCUUCUCAUAUCGAAAUAUGACUUUUGUCUACUUUGUGCUAUUCUCAAUCUCUCCCUUAUCAUCUUACCUUCUACAAGUCUUCCAUGACCAAAUCCAGACCUAGCAAAGCCAUCUCCCCUACUUUAAACCACCCAACUGGGAUCUACAUUGCCUAUCAUAAAGGGCUUCAAAGGGAGCCAUACCAAUGCUAGAGUGGUAGCUAUUGUUGUAAUGUUCAUCCCAACUAUCCUUAAACUCCAAACACAAGCCUCAAAACAUAUCCUCAAGAGUUUGGAUAGUCCUCUCGGCUUGGGCCAUCCAUUUGAGAGUGAAAGUCCGUGCUACCGUGCUAAGCUUAACCUUGGUACCAAGACCUCUUUGGAAGGACCUCAAAAAAUGUGAAGUGGAUUGAGCACCAUGAUCCGAAAUGAUAGACAAAGGCACCCCAUGCAAUCUAACUAACUCAUGAAUAUACUAUUUAACAUAAUCUUUGGCAUUAUAAGUGGUCUUAACUGGUAGAAAGUGCACCGACUUUGUCAUUCUAUCAACCACAACCCAAAUAGAAUCAAAGUGUUUCCUAGUCUUGGGCAAACCCAACGACAAAAUUCAUGUUAACCUCUUCUCACAUCCAAGCAGGAAUUUAUAUGUCUUGGGCUAGACCACCCGACCUUUGAUGUUCGACUUUCACUUGUUGGCAAUUGUGACAUCCAGAUAUGAACUUGGCAAUAUCUCUCUUCAAACCACCCCACCAAUACACUUCUCUUAAGUCCCUAUACAUCUUUGUGNCGGAGCUUUUUGUAGUGCUAGCAGGAAUGCAAGUGAAUGAAUCCCAUCCCCUAGCGAGUGAAGUGCUUACGCCCCUUUAGAGAUAGGGGCGAGCAAAAGAGGUCGUUCUUCCAUUUUGAGAUCUUUAGAUUCAUAAGAUCAUAAUAGAGUCCCUUUACUUUCUAUUUUAUUAGUCAAGCACUAGC